UUAAAAAUAUUUCUAUAUUAUUGCAUUAAUUAAAUUUAAAAAUUUAAAAAAAUUAAAAAAAAAAUUUAAAAAAUAGUUAGUUUGCUAUUGUAAUACCCUUGAAUUUAAGUUGCUUUAAUUUUCAUGAGAAGUAAUUUAGUAAAUUUUUAAAUUAAUAUUACAUGUAUAAAUAAAUAAAUAAUAAUAAUAAUAAUAAUAGUUGAGUCAAGAAUAUAAUUGUAGCAACUUUUUAAAAAGGGGAUUCAUUUGCAUUUUUUAUCUUUUAUUAUUAAAGAAAAAAUAUAAUAGGAAAAAAAAAAAUCUUCCCCUCCUUCUCUCUCCCCAUCACCUUCUUCUUCCUUCCCCCUCAACCCCCCCACCCCCAAUUUUCGCCGCCACAACUCCUUCUCCUUUCCCCUUUCUCGCCGGCGACGUCAUCUUCUCCUCCUUCCUUGCUGCCGUCAACAAUUUGGAGGAAGGAAAAUCUUCUCCCUCACUGCCGCUACAAGUGCAGCCUUCUAUCGCCCUUACCUCGCAAAUCCGGCAAUGGAAACGAGCUUCCCACCAUCGAAAAUCUCCAAGUCAAUCUUCCCCGCCGUUUCUCCCCCGCCGGCAACCUUCGUAUAGCCUCAUCGGAGCAGAUUCUCUUCUCCACGAUCUAGCAUUUUCCGACAAGAGUUAGGCUGUAAUUUUGGCAUAUUCAGACUCCUCGAGGCUCAAGCUUCGCGUAGAUGUCUCCGAAUUCAAAAUUCGAUAUCGUUACCCACGAACGCGCAGAAGUUCGGCUUUCAGCUCGGUGACAGCUAAGUUCUCCGCCAACUUCUUUUGCAGCUCGAUUUCCCUUCCCCAUUCGGCCUUAUUGUAAUUAAAUCUUACUUUUGUAUCUUAAAUUAUUUGGAAUCCUAUAUCUCCAUGGUAGUGUACUUUGUAUCUUAUAUUUUAAUUUGGUCUGUUAAAAAUUAUGAAAUAUUUGCUAGUAAUCUAGUUGGAGAAUUACUUUAA